rnacentral:rRNA from 1 species
ACUAAAUAGAUACCCCGGUAGUCCACGCCGUAAACGAUGAAUACUCGGCAUCUGGCGGGCGAUUUUCGUCCGCCGGGUGCCCCAGCUAAACGCGGUAAGUAUUCCGCCUGGGAACUACGAGCGCAAGCUUAAAAACUCAAAGGAAUUGACGGGGGCCCGCACAAGCAGCGGAGCGUGUGGUUUAAAUUCGACGCAACGCGCAGAACCUUACCCAGGUUUGACAUGCUACUGCAAGCCGGUGAAAGCCGGUCGCCUUCGAGGGUGUAGCACAGAUGCUGCAUGGCUGUCGUCAGCUCGUGUCGUGAGAUGUUGGGUUUAAAGUCCCGCAACGAGCGCAACCCCUACGGUCAGUUACUUGUGUCUGGCCGGACUGCCGUUUUACGGAGGAAGGCGGGGAUGACGUCAAGUCCGCAUGGCUCUUACGCCUGGGGCGACACACACGCUACAAUGCCAGCGACAGAGCGCGGCUACCUCGCAAGAGGAUGCAAAUCGCUAAACGCUGGCCCAGUGCAGAUUGGGGGUCGUGCAACUCGCCCCC